rnacentral:rRNA from 1 species
UACGUAGGGACCAAGCGUUGUUCGGAUUUACUGGGCGUAAAGGGCGCGUAGGCGGUCGUGACAAGUCACUUGUGAAAUCUCCGGGCUUAACUCGGAACGGUCAAGUGAUACUGUCGGACUAGAGGUACAGAAGGGGCGAACAUGGAAUUCUCGGUGUAGCGGUGAAAUGCGUAGAUAUCGAGAGGAACACCUGCGGCGAAGGCGGGUUGCUGGGCUGAUACUGACGCUGGAGGCGCGAAAGCUAGGGGAGCGAACGGG